GAACUUGACAGUGAUUUUCCUCGACCCUUCCUGCUGACUGCCACGUCGAGCUCCGUAAGGAACAGCAGGUUAUUAACUUACUGUACUUUCUGCUGUGUCAAACCUGGCGUCUCGGACUCCGGUAGAAACACUGGAAGAACGGCCAAAACACAUUCUCCGCUCGGAACUGUUCACAACUGCGGCUAUCUGUUCCUGUGAGCACAACAAAGAAGUAGAGGGAGAGGUCCUGGAGACAACAUGAGGCAACUCAAAGGCAAAGCCAAAAAAGAAACGUCCAAGGACAAGAAGGAGCGUAAGCAGGCCAUGCAGGAGGCCCGACAGCAGGUGGCCACCAUAGUGCUGCCUACACUGGCUGUGGUGGUGCUGCUCAUCGUCGUCUUUGUAUAUGUGGCCACCAGGCCUGGUGCUAUAGAGUAGACAUUCAAGAUCUGCUGAGAACACACAAACUACAAACUGACAAUGGCUAUACCCAAAGGAUUACCCCCUUCAUGAGACUACCGUCCCUCUGUAGGCCCAUGUCUAGCCUACCAAUUGUCUCAAUGAGAACAUUCCCCAAAGGAUCCCUCUUUGCUCUGAACAGGAUUCAAGCGGCAAAAAUAAGAAAUCAAACUGAGCGAAGAAACCUCUGUGCCUUCAGACGAUUGAAAAUGUUAUCCUGUUUAUUUCAGAGUAGCAGAUAGAUUCAUGUUGAUGUCUUGGAAAAAGAUGCAAUACCAUGCGUACCAAAGGACAUGUGCACAGCUUGCAAAUUUUGACCAGAGGUGUUAAAAAAAUGUUUAAACAUUUGACUCGGUGCUGCUCUAAAUAUUUAUAGUUAAUGCAACAUUAGCCUGGUCUCUGACAUGUACCACUCUUUGGACAGCACUCACACAUAUCUGUAUGAAUAUGUAUGUAUGACUUAGGGACAAAGAACACUUCCUUUUUUUUCUAAAUGCAGCACCAGAGUUUUUUAUUGAAUGUAUUUGUAGAAUGUGUUAUCUCCAGUCCAGUAUGUUAAUACCAGGUUAAUACACACAUGAAUAUUUUCAUCUUUAAUGUGAAUGUUACCCAAUUUGUGUCCAUUAAGUUAUUGACAAGCAUACAUUUGAAUCACUUAUUUCAUCUGUGCGAUUUCAACAAGGUGCCUUAACAGAUUUGAAACUGUAUCAUUUCAGUUCAAUAAAUUCAUUUUUAAAUAAUUUGGAAUUUGUUUAGUGUUAGAGAGUUUUGAUUUAUGCACAUUAAUGUUGCAUUUUUAUGUCUUUUAUAAAGUGUAUCUCAGUUUGUAUCUGUCUUGGUAGAAUCAGGUAGAGGAAAUAAUUAAUGAGAUCCAGACCCAAUGACCUUGUAUUUAGCUACGGCUACUGAUAUUGAAUAUGGUCAGUGUUAUUCUGGACUUAAUGCUUUCUUAAGGGUUCAAUCAUCUAUGUUUUAACUUUGGAUGGCUGAUGACAGUGCCUUGAAAAUAUUAAAUGAAACUGGACAAAAUUGAAUGAAACUGGACAAUAACUAAAAUGUGAGAAAAUUGAACAAAAUUGAAUAAUUUUGAAUGGAACUUGAAAAAUGAAUGAAAA